AUUGAACGCUGGCGGCAGGCCUAACACAUGCAAGUCGAGCGGAUGAAGGGAGCUUGCUCCUGGAUUCAGCGGCGGACGGGUGAGUAAUGCCUAGGAAUCUGCCUGGUAGUGGGGGAUAACGUCCGGAAACGGGCGCUAAUACCGCAUACGUCCUGAGGGAGAAAGUGGGGGAUCUUCGGACCUCACGCUAUCAGAUGAGCCUAGGUCGGAUUAGCUAGUUGGUGGGGUAAAGGCCUACCAAGGCGACGAUCCGUAACUGGUCUGAGAGGAUGAUCAGUCACACUGGAACUGAGACACGGUCCAGACUCCUACGGGAGGCAGCAGUGGGGAAUAUUGGACAAUGGGCGAAAGCCUGAUCCAGCCAUGCCGCGUGUGUGAAGAAGGUCUUCGGGUUGUAAAGCACUUUUGGUUGGGAGGAAGGGCAGUAAGUUAAUACCUUGCUGUUUUGACGUUACCAACAGAAUAAGCACCGGCUAACUUCGUG
rnacentral:rRNA from 1 species